GUUUGAUCUCAGACUGCUGUGCUAGCAAUCAGCGAGACUCCGUGGGCGUAGGACCCUCCUAGCCAGAUACAAAAAGAAAAAUUACUGUCAUGUGAUGUGUGAUCCAUGAUACCGUCAUAGUUUUGUUCCAAGACCAUCCUCAAGGAGUUUAAUGAAUGUGGCAUCACAAGAAAAAUAUGCAUCAACAUUGAAAAACUCCAUUGGCAACGGAGCAGCAGAGGAGAGAAGAGAAGCAUCUGAACGUUGAGAGGAGAAGCAGCAGCUGGACAUUGGAGACUACAGUCGGAGAGGAGUUCAACCAGAGAUAGUUGGAGAGAAGUUUGGUCAGACAGCCGAACUCCAGGGAAAUACCACCUUCUCGCUCCAUCCCCUUCCCAGUCCCCCCUCCCACUGGAAGCCACUUUUAUCAGCAAUAAAAUCCUCCGC
rnacentral:lncRNA from 10 species